rnacentral:rRNA from 1 species
AACCAACAGGGAUUGCCCCAGUAACGGCGAGUGAAGCGGCAACAGCUCAGAUUUGAAAUCUGGCCCCCUUCGGGGUCCGAGUUGUAAUCUGUAGAGGAUGCUUUUGGCGACGCGCCUUCCGAGUCCCCUGGAACGGGGCGCCAGAGAGGGUGAGAGCCCCGUACGGUCGGACGCCGAACCUCUGUAAAGCUCCUUCGACGAGUCGAGUAGUUUGGGAAUGCUGCUCAAAAUGGGAGGUAAAUUUCUUCUAAAGCUAAAUACCGGCCAGAGACCGAUAGCGCACAAGUAGAGUGAUCGAAAGAUGAAAAGCACUUUGAAAAGAGGGUUAAAUAGCACGUGAAAUUGCUGAAAGGGAAGCGCUUGUGACCAGACUUGCGCCCGGUUGAUCAUCCAGCGUUCUCGCUGGUGCACUCUGCCGGGCUCAGGCCAGCAUCGGCUCCCCCAGGGGGAUAAAGGUCGCGGGAACGUAGCUCUCUCCGGGGAGUGUUAUAGCCCGCGGCGGAAUACCCUUAGGGGGGGUCGAGGCCCGCGUUCGCAAGGAUGCUGGCGUAAUGGUCACCAGCGACCCGUCUUGAAACACGGACCAAGGAGUCAAGCAUUAGGGCGAGUCUUUGGGUGUAAAACCCGCAGGCGCAAUGAAAGUGAACGGAGGUGAGAGCUUCGGCGCAUCAUCGACCGAUCCUGAUGUUCUCGGAUGGAUUUGAGUAAGAGCCUUACCGCUUGGACCCGAAAGAUGGUGAACUAUGCCUGAAUAGGGUGAAGCCAGAGGAAACUCUGGUGGAGGCUCGCAGCGGUUCUGACGUGCAAAUCGAUCGUCAAAUUUGGGCAUGGGGGCGAAAGACUAAUCGAACCAUCUA